CAGUCGCCGCGGUAAUGCGGAGGGGGCUAGCGUUGUUCGGAAUUACUGGGCGUAAAGCGCACGUAGGCGGAUCGAUCAGUCAGGGGUGAAAUCCUGGAGCUCAACUCCAGAACUGCCUUUGAUACUGUCGAUCUCGAGUCCGGAAGAGGUGAGUGGAACUCCUAGUGUAGAGGUGGAAUUCGUAGAUAUUAGGAAGAACACCAGUGGCGAAGGCGGCUUACUGGCUCAUACUGGACGCUGAGGUGCGAAAGCGUAGGGAGCAAACAGGAUUAGAUACCCCCGUAGUCCCUGUCUCUUAUAC
rnacentral:rRNA from 1 species